AAAAAUAAACAUUAAAAAAAAUUUUUUUAAUGUGCUGGUGAGGACACAGGAGAUAGAAUCACACAUCACUGAAAUGGGCAUGAGAUUUCAAAAGUGUUGCCAAACAUUAGACUGUAUACAGUCAUCAAAAUGCUGGACUCUAAACAUAUUUAAUCUUUUCGAGUCUGGUACUAAAAUAUGCCUCAAGGUGCUUUCACAUUCCUGCAUAGUAGCUGAGGGUUCCAGACCAAGACUGGCCCCUGUGUGAACUUCAGAAACAUACUCUACCUCUCUGUGCCUGGAUCAUUUGAAAACUAAAGGAAUUAGGGGCACCUAGGUAGCUCAGCUCAUUAGGCAUCAGACUCUUGAUCUCAGCUCAGGUCUUGAUCUUGGGGUCCUGAGUUCAAGCACCGAGCUGGGCUCCACACUGGGCAUGAAGCCUACUUAAUUUAAAAAAAAGGGAGGGGGGGCAGGGACAAGGUCUUGAACAGACAUUUUUCCAAAGACGCUAUGGCCAAUAAGCACAUGAGAAUAUCUUCAACAUUCAGGAAUCAUUAUGAAACUGCAAAUAGAACCCAGGAUGAGAUACCACCUCACAGCCAUUAGGAAGGCUAUUAUAUAAAAAGCAAAGCAAAAAAAAAAAAAAAAAAAAAGCAAAGCAAAACCAAAAGAACAAGUGCUGGCAAGGAUGUGGGGAAACUGGAACCUUUGGGCACUGCUGGUGGGGAUGAUGGAAAGUACAGCAGCCACUAUGGAAAAUGUGAAGGUGAUUGCUCAAAAUUUUAAACACAAAAUUACCAUAUGGUGUAGUAAUUCCACUUCUGGGUGUAUACCCAAAAAAAGCAAAAGCAGGGAGUCAGGUAUUUGCACACCUGUGUUCAUUGCAGUGUUAUUCACAACAGCCAAAAGGUGCAGGCAACCCAAGUGUCCACUGAUGGAUGGAUGAAUGGAUAGACAAAAUAGGAUAUGAACAUACAGUACACACCCUUACAUAGGAAGAAAACUGACAUGCUACUGUACUGAUGAAUCUUUAGUUACAGUACUGAUGUACUUAAGACCUUAUG